UCUUCCCUUCUGUUGCCUGCAGGCACAUAGGUCAAGAUGAACCCACUCAGCAGAAAUCUUACCUUCAAAAGUUUACCUCCAGGAUGGCAUCUCCUUUUGUAAAUUUAGAGGCAGUUAUACUCACCUCUUUUCUAAAAACAGCUUGUGAAGGAGAGCUAGGAAGCCAAUUGGUGGAGCUGUUCCACCUCUUAAGACUUCCCUUUCCACUUCCCAGAGCCACCAAGGAGGAUGUUCUAGGGCAAAGGCUUAUUUGAUGUAGAAGCAGGAAGGCUGUUUAAGGGUGUGCACUUGGGUGUCCAUGUGAGUGAGGACAAGUGGAAGCAGAUCUGACUGGAAUUCCAGAAGAAUCUGCUCCCAGUGUGAGAGAUUGUGAAUUCCUGAAGGACAAGGACAGUAAGCAUCUUGUUCUCAGUUGUUUCCCCACAAUCUGAGAUAAAAUACCACAUAAUUGAAGAAAUAUGAAAUAACAGCAUUUGUAUAGCAGAAAAAGGCUGUAUGUGUGUCAGAGGUCUCCAUGCCUUCUACACAGCUUUGCCCCUUCCAGUUUGUAUUUGCCCUCAAUAAAACCUUUGAGUAUCUUGUGAA